rnacentral:rRNA from 1 species
UACGAAGGGGGCAAGCGUUGUUCGGAAUUACUGGGCGUAAAGGGCGCGUAGGCGGUGCUCUAAGUCAGGCGUGAAAGCCCUGGGCUCAACCCGGGAAUUGCGCUUGAUACUGGGGCGCUUGAAUCCAGGAGAGGUUGGUGGAAUUCCCAGUGUAGAGGUGAAAUUCGAUAGAGAGUUAGGAAGAACACCGGUGGCGAAGGCGGCCAACUGGACUGGUAUUGACGCUGAGGCGCGAAAGCGUGGGGAGCAAACAGG